UUUGAUCAAGCUACGAAGGGCAUGUGGUGAAUGCCUUGGUGCCAGGAGGCGAUGAAGGACGUAGCAAGCUGCGAAAAUCUCCGGUUAGCCGCAAGCAGGCCUUGACCCGGAGGUGUCCGAAUGGGACAACCCGUUUCCAGUCAUGUGGAAACAUUGGCGGAUGAAUUCAUAGUCCGUCAAAGCCAGACGGGGCGAAGUGAAACAUCUCAGUAACCCCAGGAAAAGAAAACGACCGUGAUUCCGUAAGUAGUGGCGAGCGAAAGCGGAACAGCCCAAACCGUGGAGACGUGUCUCUGCGGGGUUGCGGGGCCUCAGUAGAGUGACCGGCGGCGAGCACAAUCAUCUGGAAAGUUGAGCCAAAGACCGUGACAGCCGGGUGUGCGAAGUCAAAAGUCACUUGGAGGGUUCCCCAAGUAGCGCGGUGCACGUGAAACACUGCGUGAAUCUGUCCGGACCACCGGAUAAGGCUAAAUACUACCUGGCAACCGAUAGUGCACAAGUACCGUGAGGGAAAGGCGAAAAGAACCCCUGUUAGGGGAGUGAAAUAGACCCUGCAACCGCAUGCCUACAAGGUGUGGGAGCCCUGCUUCGGCGGGGUGACCGCGUGCCUUUUGCAUAAUGAGUCUGCGAGUUAUCGUCUGUGGCAAGCCUAAGUCGCUCUGCGGCGUAGGCGAAGGGAAACCGAGUGUGAAAUGCGCGUCCAGUCGCAGGCGAUAGACCCGAAGCGGAGGUGAUCUACUCAUGAGCAGGAUGAAGCUGCGGUAACACGCAGUGAAGGUCCGAACCAGUGUGCGUUGAAAAGUGCUUGGAUGACUUGUGAGUAGGAGCGAAAGACUAAACAAACCCCGUGAUAGCUGGUUCUCUCCGAAAUUGCUUGAGGGCGAGAGUCGGGUCAGUACACCGUGGGGGUAGAGCACUGAAUGGCUUAGGGUCCCUACCAGGAUACCAAAACCAAUCAAACUCCGAAUACCACGGUUCCCAUUACCCCGGCAUUGAGACAGUGGGGGAUAACCUUCAUUGUCGAAAGGGAAACAACCCAGACCGUCGGCCAAGGUGCCAAAAUGCCGCUCAGUGGAAAGGAUGUGACGUUACUUGGACAGUGAGGAUGUUGGCUUAGAGGCAGCCACCAUUUAAACAAUGCGUAAUAGCUGACUCAUCGAGUGAUGUCGCGCCGAAAAUGAUUGGCGAUCAAGCGGCAUACCGCAGCCACGGAUCUGCGAGACUUGUCUCGCAGGUGGUAGGAGAGCGUGACCAACGCGGCAAAGCUGGAGGGCAACUGAAAGUGGAGCGUUGGCCAGUGAGCAUGCAGACACGAGUAGCGAUAAACCAGAUGAGAAUUCUGGUCGCCGUAAACCCAAGGUUUCCUGGGGCAGGUUCGUCCUCCCAGGGUUAGCCGGGAGCUAAGACGAGGCCGAUGGGCGUAGUCGAUGCACAGCAGGUUAAUAUUCCUGCGCCGGUGACGGUUAAGCAUGUUGGGGACGCGGAUGGAAAAGUGAUUACCUGAUCGAAUUGGGAGCCUAGCCUUCGGGCGAAGCAGAUCACCGGACCGUCCGCCGAGAAAAGCCAGCAUGUGUUCCCGUUGCCGCUCGUACCGUAAACCGACACAGGUGGGUGGGUGUAAAUGCACCAAGGCGAGCGAGAUAAACCUCUCUAAGGAACUCGGCAAGUUAGCCCCGUAACUUCGGGAGAAGGGGCGCCUUCAGGGGGUGCAGCAAUGUGAUCCUUGAAGGUCUCAGAUAAUUGCGCUUGGCGACUGUUUAACAAAAACACAGCUCUCUGCAAAGUCGUGAAGACGACGUAUAGGGAGUGACACGUGACCAAUGCGGAAAGAUUAAGGUGUCUUGUUAGCCGCAAGGCGAAGCUCGGUGCCAAAGUCCCCGUGAAUGUCGGCCGUAACUAUAACGGUCCUAAGGUAGCGAAAUUCCUUGUCGGGUAAGUUCCGACCUGCACGAAUCGUGUAACGACCGAGCGACUGUCUCGGAGAGGUUCUCGGCGAAACUGUAAUGGCGGUGAAGAUGCCGCCUGCCCGCAGUAGGACGGAAAGACCCUAUGCACCUUUACUGUAAGCUGGUAUUGGGUUCUGGUUAUGGAUGCGUAGCGUAGGUGGGAGACGUUGAUGCGGCGGCCUCGGUUGUCGCGGAGUCACAAUGUGAAACACCACUCUUCCCUAAUUAGAAUUCUAACCCCGAUUCCUGUGAAGCCAGGCGGGGGACAGUGCCUGCGGGUCAGUUUGACUGGGGCGGUUUCCUCCCAAAGAGUAACGGAGGAGCGCGAAGCUCGGCUCAGCACGGUUGGCAACCGUGUGUCGAGGGCAUGGCUACAAGCCGGGUUAACUGUGAGACCUACAAGUCAAGCAGGUGCGAAAGCAGGCCCAAGUGAUCCGAUGGUGGAAUGUGGAAUUGCCAUCGCUCAACGGACAAAAGGUACGCUAGGGAUAACAGGCUGAUCGCUGCCAAGAGUUCAUAUCGACGUAGCGGUUUGGCACCUCGAUGUCGGCUCGUCGCAUCCUGGGGCUGAAGAAGGUCCCAAGGGUCCGGCUGUUCGCCGGUUAAAGCGGCACGCGAGCUGGGUUCAGAACGUCGUGAGACAGUUCGGUCCUUAUCCACUGUGGGCGUAGGAGACUUGAGGGGUUCAUUCCUUAGUACGAGAGGACCGGGAAUGACGCACUUCUGGUAUGGCAGUUGUUCCGUCAGGGGCAGCGCUGCGUAGCCAUGUGCGGACGAGAUAAGCGCUGAAAGCAUCUAAGUGCCAAGCUCCUCCCAAGAUAAGGUCUCCCUUCCGCGCAAGCGGACUAAAGACCCCAAGUAGACCACUUGGUUGAUAGGCCAGGCGUGCAAGCGUGGUGACACGUUUAGCGGACUGGUACUAAUAGGUCGUGCGGCUUGAUCUCUAUCA
rnacentral:rRNA from 1 species